UACGGGGGGAGCAAGCGUUGUUCGGAUUUAUUGGGCGUAAAGGGCGCGUAGGCGGCCCGGUAAGUCAAAGGUGAAAUCCCUCGGCUCAACUGAGGAACUGCCUUUGAAACUGUCGGGCUUGAGGCCGGGAGGGGGUAGCGGAAUUCCCAGUGUAGCGGUGAAAUGCGUAGAUAUUGGGAGGAACACCGGUGGCGAAGGCGGCUACCUGGACCGGUUCUGACGCUGAUGCGCGAAAGCGUGGGUAGCAAACAGG
rnacentral:rRNA from 1 species